CCUGCUACUUUAUAGGAGGUCCAGCCUGCCCAGUGAUAAAAUUAAACGGCCGCGGUACCCUAACCGUGCAAAGGUAGCGCAAUCACUUGUUCUUUAAAUGAGGACUAGUAUGAACGGCAUCACGAGGGUUACACUGUCUCCCCACUCUACUCAGUGAAACUGAUCCCCCCGUGAAGAAGCGGGGAUAAAUAUAUAAGACGAGAAGACCCCAUGGAGCUUAAAACUCAGUCUUACCUGCCAUCUAAAAAACCUAGAAACCACGCAGUACUAAUGACUAGUUUUCGGUUGGGGUGACCGCGGAGAAAAACAAAUCCUCCACGACGAAAGGACCUAUCCACCUAACCCAAGAGGUACACCUCUAAGAAUCAACACAUUGACCAACUGAUCCAAUUUUUUGAUCAACGGACCA
rnacentral:rRNA from 1 species